rnacentral:rRNA from 1 species
UGGGGAAUAUUGCACAAUGGGGGAAACCCUGAUGCAGCGACGCCGCGUGAGCGAAGAAGGCUUUCGAGUCGUAAAGCUCUGUCCUAUGAGAAGAUAAUGACGGUAUCAUAGGAGGAAGCCCUGGCUAAAUACGUGCCAGCAGCCGCGGUAAUACGUAUGGGGCGAGCGUUGUCCGGAAUUAUUGGGCGUAAAGGGUACGUAGGUGGUUUUUUAAGUCAGGUGUCAAAGCGUGGAGCUUAACUCCAUUAAGCACUUGAAACUGAAAGACUUGAGUGAAGGAGAGGAAAGUGGAAUUCCUAGUGUAACGGUGAAAUGCGUAGAUAUUAGGAGGAAUACCGGUGGCGAAGGCGACUUUCUGGACUUUUACUGACGCUCAGGUACGAAAGCGUGGGGAGCAAACAGG